rnacentral:rRNA from 1 species
UCGGGCGUCUAAGAGAUACUGGGUAAUCUUGGAACCGGGAGAGGUGAGGGGUACUUCCGGGGGUAGGAGUGAAAUCCUGUAAUCCUCGAGGGACCACCUGUGGCCGAAGGCGCCUCACCAGAACGGCUUCGACAGUGAGGGACGAAAGCUGGGGGAGCAAACCGGAUUAGAUACCCGGGUAGUCCCAGCCGUAAACGAUGUGCGUUAGGUGUAUCGGUGACCACGAGUCACCGAGGUGCCGAAGGGAAACCGUGAAACGUACCGCCUGGGAAGUACGGUCGCAAGGCUGAAACUUAAAGGAAUUGGCGGGGGAGCACCACAACAGGUGGAGCCUGCCGGUUUAAUUGGACUCAACGCCGGAAAUCUCACCGGAUAAGACAGCAGAAUGAUUGCCGGGCUGAAGACUCUGCAUGACUAGCUGAGGAGAGGUGCAUGG